rnacentral:lncRNA from 1 species
GUUAUUUUUUUGCUAACACUUUGGCUAACUUUUAAAAAACAUUCUCAUAAUAAGCAGAUGUUAUCAUUCUUUAGCUCUUCAGAAAAUCAACAAGUGAAACGCCCCGGGCAUCACGAAAACCUGUUGCCGCGACCUUUGCUAUUGACCAGUCCAUUUGUGUUUUGACUGGACCACUUCCACCUCUUGGUAGCUGUUGUUUUUACUAUGCUUUGUAUUCUGGAUUGUACUGGUAAAGCUAUGUUUCUUCUCCUGUUAAAAUUCUUCAAAGAAAUGCUUCAGGAUCUUUAUCCAACUUGUUUACAGUUUCUGUUGAAAGCUCUGAUCUUAUCUGCAGCCGAUCUGGGAGAAACUGUUUUUGCACCCACUGAGUGAAAAGUUUGCUCAACUUUAAUUUGCCAGUCAGAAUGUUGUAAGCUGAACUAAUGGAGAUGUUUUUGGUGUUGGCUAUUGUUUCUGCUGUUAAUGUCAGUCCUUUUUCAAUUAAGGCAUUAACAAGAUUAGUUUAUUUCUCACAAAUUAAUGUGGAUGGUCUGCCAUUGCAGGCUUCAUCUUCAGCGUUGUCUCCUCCCUUGUUAAAACAAGUUAUCCAUUUGUAAACUAUUAGUUUAUUUGGAACAUUGUCCUCAUAAACUUUUUGUAAAGGAUCAGUGAUUUCACCAUUCUUCCACCCAAGCUUCACCAUCAAUUUGAUGUUUCUUCUUGCUUCCAUUUUAACAAAAUUCAUGUUGCUUUUAUAGGGGCUCUUUUCAAACCGAUGUCUUAUUCUUAAUGCCUCAGAGUAGAUCAUGUCAGACAUGUUAUAACAAGUUAGUACAGUUUUAUUUUGGUGCAAAAAAUUGAAAUCCAUGAAUAGUUUUUUCAUACUAUGCAUUUUCCCUGAAUUUUCUGAACACCCUUCAAUUAAUCUAAGGUAACUCUGCCUCUAAGUUUUUGAGACAGGGUCUUACCCUGUCACCCAGGAUAGAGUGCAUUGGCAAGAUCAUGGCUCACUGUACCUUCAGACUUCUGGGCUCAAGUGAUCCUCUUGCCUUAGCCUCUUGAGCAGCUAAAACUACAGACAUGUGCCAUCACACCCAGGUA